rnacentral:lncRNA from 1 species
UAAAUAGAAAGAGACGGAAUAAAAAACAAGAAGACUGGAAAUCAGAAUCUGGUACCUCCGUAAAAUUCACUUUUGUCACAAUUUACUUUGAUCAUUAGAUUUUCGACAAGUGAAGGAUCAGCCGUUAACACAAGGGAAGUUACCAACCAACAGAGGGAAAAGACAAUAACACAAUCAACAUAGUCAUACACAAUAGAUUUCACAAAUUAAGAACCACAAUAGAUUUGACAAAUUAGGAACAAUCCAACCGUAGAUUUCAAACCUAAACAAACGAUGGCAGAGGAGGCGGCAAUGGCGGACCAUGGCAGAGAGUGUAACGCGUGAACGCGAGAGUGAAGAGAGGUAGGGUUCGCAGGCAAUGACACGAGAGUGGAGAGAGGUAGGGUUUGGAGAGAGAGGGGCGAGAGUGGUAGGGUUUCGUGAGUGUUUCAUGAGAGAGGGGCAUAUUUUUUAGUAGAGAGGGAAGAGUGUUUAUGAAAAAUGUGAAGAGUUAAGAGUGUAUUUAGUUUCCAAGAGUU